GGCUUUGCGUAGUGGCAGUAUCGUAGCCAAUGAGGUUUAUCCGAGGCGUGAUUAUUGCUAAUUGAAAACUUUUCCCAAUACCCUGCUGUGAUGACUUGCAAUAUAGUCAGCAUUGGCAAUUUUUCACAGUCUCUACAGAGA
ensembl:snRNA U4 U4 spliceosomal RNA